AGAAAUAUGUCUGACAAAAGAGCUAUCUUGAUAGGAUAGAUCAUAGGGGCACAACCCCCUUAUUUCUA
rnacentral:tRNA from 1 species